rnacentral:rRNA from 1 species
UACAGAGGUCCCAAGCGUUGUUCGGAUUCACUGGGCGUAAAGAGCUCGUAGGCGGUCUGUCGCGUCUGCCGUGAAAACCCAUGGCUUAACUGUGGGCUUGCGGUGGAUACGGGCGGACUUGAGGUAGGUAGGGGAGAAUGGAAUUCCCGGUGUAGCGGUGAAAUGCGCAGAUAUCGGGAGGAACACCGGUGGCGAAGGCGGUUCUCUGGGCCUUACCUGACGCUGAGGAGCGAAAGCGUGGGGAGCAAACAGG